rnacentral:rRNA from 1 species
UACAUGCAAGUCGAGCGAAUGRAUUAAGAGCUUGCUCUUAUGAAGUUAGCGGCGGACGGGUGAGUAACACGUGGGUAACCUGCCCAUAAGACUGGGAUAACUCCGGGAAACCGGGGCUAAUACCGGAUAACAUUUUGAACYGCAUGGUUCGAAAUUGAAAGGCGGCUUCGGCUGUCACUUAUGGAUGGACCCGCGUCGCAUUAGCUAGUUGGUGAGGUAACGGCUCACCAAGGCAACGAUGCGUAGCCGACCUGAGAGGGUGAUCGGCCACACUGGGACUGARACMCGGCCCAGACUCCUACGGGAGGCAGCAGUAGGGAAUCUUCCGCAAUGGACGAAAGUCUGACGGAGCAACGCCGCGUGAGUGAUGAAGGCUUUCGGGUCGUAAAACUCUGUUGUUAGGGAAGAACAAGUGCUAGUUGAAUAAGCUGGCACCUUGACGGUACCUAACCAGAAAGCCACGGCUAACUACGUGCCAGCAGCCGCGGUAAUACGUAGGUGGCAAGCGUUAUCCGGAAUUAUUGGGCGUAAAGCGCGCGCAGGUGGUUUCUUAAGUCUGAUGUGAAAGCCCACGGCUCAACCGUGGAGGGUCAUUGGAAACUGGGAGACUUGAGUGCAGAAKAGGAAAGUGGAAUUCCAUGUGUAGCGGUGAAAUGCGUAGAGAUAUGGAGGAACACCAGUGGCGAAGGCGACUUUCUGGUCUGUAACUGACACUGAGGCGCGAAAGCGUGRGGAGCAAACAGGAUUAGAUACCCUGGUAGUCCACGCCGUAAACGAUGAGUGCUAAGUGUUAGAGGGUUUCCGCCCUUUAGUGCUGAAGUUAACGCAUUAAGCACUCCGCCCUGGGGAAGUACGGCCGCAAGGCUGAACUCAAAGGAAUGGACGGGGGUCCGC